UCCAAGAACAUUGUGAUUGUUGUUUUUAUUUCAUUUUAUUUUAUUUUGGCUAAUAGGUACACAGUAUCAUGAAGAUUUUAAUAACAGUUUUUAUACUGAUGAACAGCUUCUUUGCUGUGGAGCUCCAGAACCUUCUGACCCAGCCCGCUUCAGAAAUUAAACUCCCCGGAGAGACUUUAACUUUAACCUGCAAAGGAAUUUCCUCUUUGAUUCAGUCCUGGAUCCAGUGGACGUACAAGAUCGGCGACGAAGGAAUUAAAUGGAUAGGAGAAAGCAAUCCAGAUGGCAGUAGAUCAAGCAUCCGUCCAUCUCUGAGAGACCGAUUUGCCGUCUCUAGGGAUAAUUCCCGGGAUAUCGCUUCCUUAGAGAUAAGGCAGCUGAAAGUUGAAGAUAGCGGUCUCUAUUACUGUAGCAACCACAGUGAAAUUGAACAGCACACAAACUGUUGUGCUCCCAAAUGGCCAUUAAACUGUCACUCUGAUCUACUCUAUCUUGCCUCGCAUAGAUUGUUCUAA